rnacentral:rRNA from 1 species
AGUGAACGCUGGCGGUAGGCCUAACACAUGCAAGUCGAACGGCAGCACAGUAAGAGCUUGCUCUUACGGGUGGCGAGUGGCGGACGGGUGAGGAAUACAUCGGAAUCUACUUUUUCGUGGGGGAUAACGUAGGGAAACUUACGCUAAUAACGCAUACGACCUACGGGUGAAAGCAGGGGAUCUUCGGACCUUGCGCGAUUGAAAGAGCCGAUGUCGGAUUAGCUAGUUGGCGGGGUAAAGGCCCACAAAGGCGACGAUCCGUAGCUGGUCUGAGAGGAUGUUCAGCCACACUGUAACUGAGACACGGUCCAGACUCCUACGGGGGGCAGCAGUGGGGAAUAUUGGACAAUGGGCGCAAGCCUGAUCCAGCCAUACCGCGUGGGUGAAGAAGGCCUUCGGGUUGUAAAGCCCUUUUGUUGGGAAAGAAAAGCAGCAGGUUAAUACCCCGCUGUUCUGACGGUACCCAAAGAAUAAGCACCGGCUAACUUCGUG